rfam:Myotis brandtii contig318748, whole genome shotgun sequence.
AUCCUAUAUAAUAAAAGGGUAAUAUGACUCUCUUAAGGUAGCUAAAUGCCUCGUCAUCUAAUUAGUGACACGCAUGAAUGGAU